rnacentral:rRNA from 1 species
AAUAUUGGACAAUUGGCGAAAGUCUGACCCAGCAAUUCCGCGGGAGUGAUGAAGGCCUUAGGGUUGGAAAGCUCUUUUACCAGGGAUGAUAAUGACCGUACCUGGAGAAUAAGCUCCGGCUAACUCCUUGUCAGCAGCCGCGGUGAUACGGAGGGAGCUAGCGUUGUUCGGAAAUACUGGGCGUAAAGCGCGCGUAGGCGGCAUCGUAAGUCAGGGGUGAAAUCCCGGGGCUCAACCCCGGAACUGCCCUUGAAACUGCAGUGCUAGAAUCUUGGAGAGGCGAGUGGAAUUCCGAGUGUAGAGGUGAAAUUCGUAGAUAUUCGGAAGAACACCAGUGGCGAAGGCGACUCGCUGGACAAGUAUUGACGCUGAGGUGCGAAAGCGUGGGGAGCAAAC